GAUGAAGAACGCAGCGAAAUGCGAUAAGUAGUGUGAAUUGCAGAAUUCAGUGAAUCAUCGAAUCUUUGAACGCACAUUGCGCCCCUUGGUAUUCCAUGGGGCAUGCCUGUUCGAGCGUCAUUUCAACCCUCAAGCCCCCGGGUUUGGUGUUGGGGAUCGGCUCUGCCCUUCUGGGCGGUGCCGCCCCCGAAAUACAUUGGCGGUCUCGCUGCAGCCUCCAUUGCGUAGUAGCUAACACCUCGCAACUGGAACGCGGCGCGGCCAUGCCGUAAAACCCCAACUUCUGAAUGUUGACCUCGGAUCAGGUAGGAAUACCCGCUGAACUUAAGCAUAUCAAUAAGCGGAGGA
rnacentral:misc_RNA from 1 species